CUUCCCCCCGCAGGCACGUGCUCUGACACCUCAAACUGCAGAGACAGAUGCCAUCCGGUUUUUGGUUGGGACGCAGUCUCUAAAAUAUGAUAAUCAGAUCCACAUCAUAGACUUUGACGACGAGAAUAACAUUAU